rnacentral:rRNA from 1 species
CCUACGGGGUGCAGCAGUGGGGAAUAUUGCACAAUGGGAGCAAGCCUGAUGCAGCCAUGCCGCGUGUAUGAAGAAGGCCUUCGGGUAGUAAAGUACUUUCCGCGGGGAGGAAGGUGUUGUGGUUAAUAACCACAGCAAUUGACGUUACCCGCAGAAGAAGCACCGGCUAACUCCGUGCCAGCAGCCGCGGUAAUACGGAGGGUGCAAGCGUUAAUCGGAAUUACUGGGCGUAAAGCGCACGCAGGCGGUCUGUCAAGUCGGAUGUGAAAUCCCAGGGCUCAACCUGGGAACUGCAUUCGAAACUGGCGGGCUAGAGUCUUGUAGAGGGGGGUAGAAUUCCAGGUGUAGCGGUGAAAUGCGUAGAGAUCUGGAGGAAUACCGGUGGCGAAGGCGGCCCCCUGGACAAAGACUGACGCUCAGGUGCGAAAGCGUGGGGAGCAAACAGGAUUAGAUACCCCGGUAGUC